UGUCGAGAGGCUGCUGCCGCCGCCGCCGCCGCCACCGCCGCUGCUGCUGCCGCUCCCUUUCCUGACAGAAAACCCCAGAGGCUGUGAGCACUGACAUGCUGUUUGCUCACUUAUGAUAAGCCCUGUUCAUUUUUAUUCAGCGGUUAAAUAUUGUCAAACGCUGCAUUAACCUUUCUGAGAGGGAAACGAUGAUAUUUGAUUGAGCCAAUUUGUGUCGCUGCGCACGCGCCGUUUGGUAUUUACCCGAAGGAACGCGCGUUACCACAGCAACGAAACAAACACACCCACAGUUGUGCGGAAAGCAGAGAUUGAUUUUAAGGAACUUUUUGUUCAAAAUGUCUACAGAGUAGACAUAUACCUAAAAUUAUGGGAUUGAAAAAUAACAAGUGAUGCCCAGCACUAUUUUAGUGAAUGUGUUACCUUUCGUUCCCAGAGCGAGUUAUUUAUUUAGGAUUACAUCAAAUGUACAUUAUUAAAAUAAACACUUGUUAUAGCCGUAAACAUGUCAGAGGUAGACGUGUGAAUGCAAACAAUGAAAUAACAUAAGAAAUAUAGCGAGAUAGAUGGUAUUAAGCACCAUUAGAAUAUACAAUAGAGGAAAACACAACAUGAACGGCUAAAUGUGGAAGAUUUUCACUGGGGAAAUUACAUGAACAAAGUGGCAGUGGCACGAGAUAAUUACACGAAUGAGGGAAAUGAAAAAGUGCAGGUAUUCCGGUUCAUGCUGGAUCAGGUCCAGAUUUCUCAGAAAGGGCAGGUAUGAGAAAGGAAUGAAAUUGGCACGAGGGUGAGAGAGAGUAAGAGACAUACGGUGCACAGUGUUCUAAGAUGCUACUGUUAUGUAUAAAAGGGGUUGUGAUUCCUUCAUAUACUGUUAACAAUAAAUAAGCAGCAAUUGAUACACAGGAAGUUAAAUAUGACUGAGCCAAAGCACUCAGAAUAUAAUUUUUUCCCAAAUACAUUGUAAAAUAUUGCACAUGAGAUGUUCUGUAUCUGAAAUAAUCAAUGACAUUGCAUUAUUGCAGGCAGAAAACUGGAUUGAGAAUGUGUUAAAAGACUACAAUCCACAGCAUUAACAAAAAAAAUAACCUACCCCUAUUGUAAGGAGCAGAUGGUACGUCCCUGUCUCUCCUCCUCCUCCUCCCUCCGCCUUCCAGUGUCCUCCAUCUCUUUGCUUUCCCUCAUUUUGCUAUAAUAAGGACACAGUGACUUCCUGAGACUGUCGUGGUUUCCUCCUCCAUCUGUUACUCCUGUAAUCUCUGCAGAGGCUGUUGGAGAGUGAAGCAGCACAGACCUGACCGUGAAUAAAGACCACUCCUGACCAGACCACACCUCUGUCCCUGAGUCCAUGGAAGCCAAGGCCAAGUCCGGGACUCCAGCGUCCAAGACGGCAUCUAAAGCAGAGAAGAAGGAGCCGGUGGUCAAUCGCAAGGCUGAGCCUGCGCCUGCACCGGCGGCGCCUGAGCCUGAGCACCCACCUUCCCAGGAUGGAGCAGCAGAGGCUGAGGCUGCAGCAGCAGCAGCAGCAGCAGCAGCAGGUGAAGAGGCAGCGGCUUCCGGCACAGACUCGCUGGAACACCUGAAACCCUUUCUCAUUGGUGGUGCCAUUAUUGCUGCAGGAGCCAUCUUGCUGGGAGCAUUGCUACUGGCGAGGAGAAAUUAGAGCAUCGAUGCUGAUUGGUUCAUAGACAGACUACCAUGGUGCAGAUGGGGGAAGGGGAGCCACUGUUAUAUAGUUGUUUAUUUUUUGGAGGGGGUGGAAUGUUUUUUUUGGGGCUUCCUUUCAUCCAUUUAAACUAUUCAGGUUCUGAUCCAUGCUGUAUAUUAAGCAGAAUUACUCAUAGCAUAUGCAUGAAAUUGCUUCAAAACUGCAUCAGAACUAUAAUAAUCCAUUGCUUGAAGAAGAAAAAAAAAACAACUCGCUUUUAAAACCUCUCUGCACAUAGACUUUGCCACUGCUUUAUCUCGUUUAAUCCCGUUUGCACAAAUAUUGACAAUAUCUUGCAAUAUUUGAACAUUCUUGACUCGGAAAUCAGUUGAGUUGACUUUUCUAAAAAGAUCGUGAGAAACGUUGAGACACAGAUAUCUAUACGGGCUGAUCGGAAUUGUUGGAGGGUUUAUUUACUUUUAAAAGAGAGAAAUUACAGACCUGGAGGGGAAAUGUGCAUUGUGAUGUAUUGCACAUAUUGUGGCUGAAUCAGAGCCCAGUUUCUCCUAUGCAGAGACAAAUGUCCCUGCAUAUCCCCCAAAAAGGUCCAGUGCAGUGCAGUAACAGACUAUAUAAAUAUACAGUGGUGUAGAAAUGGGACAUAGGGAAUUGUUGGAGACAAAAAAAGGUACAGAAUAACAGCAGAGUUGUGUCUUAAUGUAGAAUAAGGAAGAGUUUUAGUUUACUAUAAAAGAAAUCAAUAACCUUUCAUGUCGUACACCAUAACCACAGUCAAACGUAGGUACUUAGCUGUAGCAGCCGUCUGUGUGGAGGUAUCAGGUUUAAGACCUGCUGCCAAAAACACGGGAGCUGUUUCUGUUUUCACUGUGCACACUGGGUGUCCUACACCACUAACAAUACAACAAUACAACACCAGUCCACUCUAGAAAUGAACUACUGUUGUAUAGUUUUCAAAGGGUAACAGUCACAAUUUUGUCGCUGUGUCCCGUCACCUGUACAGCCACACAACACUGUCCACGCUCAUGUAAACCUCACGGUUAUGUCCCUGUUGCAUAAGUAGAUACAGUAGGUACACAUGAACAUAUACGGUACGAGCAUUCCGCGAUCACCAUUCAACAGCCCAGACACAUCCGAGAAUAGUAUACCAACACCGAAACAAACUUCACCCUACAUUGUACUUUACAGUGUACCAAGAAAAAAAGAAAAAGAAAAGAAAAACCCAAUUUUCAUAAAUUCAACAGCGUAUAAAUGCAAUAAUUCAGAUAGGACUCAUCAUUUAGCACCUGUGCUGUAGCAAGUUAAAUGGCAUAAAUGAUGACACGAUAAAAAAAGAAAAAAAACUGUUGGUGAUUAUAAUGACAACAGAGACGUGAUGUUCCGAAUGGUGGUGAUGAUGAUGGUAAUGAUGCUGAUUUUCAUGACUGUAAUGAUACUAAUGAUGGUUGUGUUAUAUUUUUGAUAUAUUUCUAACAUUAUCCUUCUGCGCGCUCCCCACUGCCCCCUCAACUCCAACAUGUAAAAAGAAAAAGGCUGUAAUUUAAACCUUUAUUAAAGGCAGUGAACCAGUUUAA